UUCGCAAUGCCCGAAAGGGUGACGAAGCGACGCCGCGUGUGGGAAGAAGGCCUUCGGGUUGUAAACCACUGUCGGGAGUUAAGAAAUGCAAGGAUAUGAAUAGUGUCUUUGCUUGACUAAGGCUCCGGAGGAAGCCACGGCUAACUCCGUGCCAGCAGCCGCGGUAAUACAGAGGCGGCAAGCGUUGUUCGGAAUUAUUGGGCGUAAAGAGCACGUAGGCGGCUAUGUAAGUCGGUUGUGAAAGCCUUCCGCUCAACGGGAGAACAGCAUCCGAUACUACAUGGCUUGAGUGCGGGAGGGGAGAGUGGAACUUCUGGUGGAGCGGUGAAAUGCGUAGAUAUCAGAAGGAACGCCGGCGGCGAAAGCGGCUCUCUGGCCCAUAACUGACGCUGAGUGUGCGAAAGCUAGGGGAGCAAACGGGAUUAGAUACCCCGGUAGUCCUAGCCGUAAACGAUGGGCACUAAGUAGAGGGGUUUU
rnacentral:rRNA from 1 species